GAGGGUAUAGCUCAAGUUGUAGAGCACAUGCUUAGCAUGCACAAGGUCCUGGGUUCAAUCCCCAGUACUCCCU
rfam:Camelus ferus unplaced genomic scaffold scaffold2050, whole genome shotgun sequence.